GAUGAACGCUGGCGGCGUGCUUAACACAUGCAAGUCGAACGGAAAGGCUCCUGCUUGCAGGGGUACUCGAGUGGCGAACGGGUGAGUAACACGUGGGUGAUCUGCCCUGCACUUCGGGAUAAGCCUGGGAAACUGGGUCUAAUACCGGAUAGGACGAUGGUUUGGAUGCCAUUGUGGAAAGUUUUUCGGUGUGGGAUGAGCUCGCGGCCUAUCAGCUUGUUGGUGGGGUAAUGGCCUACCAAGGCGUCGACGGGUAGCCGGCCUGAGAGGGUGUACGGCCACAUUGGGACUGAGAUACGGCCCAGACUCCUACGGGAGGCAGCAGUGGGGAAUAUUGAACAAUGGGCGCAAGCCUGAUGCAGCGACGCCGCGUGGGGGAUGACGGCCUUCGGGUUGUAAACUCCUUUCGCUAGGGACGAAGCGUUUUGUGACGGUACCUGGAGAAGAAGCACCGGCUAACUACGUG
rnacentral:rRNA from 1 species